rnacentral:rRNA from 1 species
UUACCAAACGUUCCCUCGGCGGGCUCAGCGCGCGGCGGCCUCCGGGCCUCCGGGCGUCCGCCGGGGAAAACCAAACCCUGAUUUAAUCGUAUUUUCUGAGGGGCGAAAGCCCGAAAACAAAAUGAAUCAAAACUUUCAACAACGGAUCUCUUGGCUCUGGCAUCGAUGAAGAACGCAGCGAAAUGCGAUAAGUAAUGUGAAUUGCAGAAUUCAGUGAAUCAUCGAAUCUUUGAACGCACAUUGCGCCCGCCGGCACUCCGGCGGGCAUGCCUGUCCGAGCGUCAUUUCAACCCUCAGGCCCACCCUUCCGGGGGAGCGGGCCUGGUGCUGGGGAUCGGCGGCCCUCGCGGCCCCCGUCCCUCAAAUUCAGUGGCGGUCGCGCCGCAGCCUCCCCUGCGUAGUAGCACAACCUCGCACCGGAGAGCGGAACGACCACGCCGUGAAACCCCCAA